AUUGAACGCUUGCGGCAGGCCCAACACAUGCAAGUCGAACGAGUGGCGGACGGGUGAGUAAUGUCUGGGAAACUGCCUGAUGGAGGGGGAUAACUCCUGGACACGGUAGCUAAUACCGCAUACCAUCAGCUGUGCCCCGAUGGGAUUAGCUUGUUGGUGGGGUAACGGCUCACCAAGGCGACGAUCCCUAGCUGGUCUGAGAGGAUGACCGGGCACACGGGAACUGAGACACUGUACAGGUUCCAACGGAAGGCAGCAGUGGGGAAUAUUGCACAAUGGGCGCAAGCCUGAUGCAGCCAUGCCGCGUGUAUUAAGAAGGCAUUCAGGUUGUAAAGUACUGUCAGCGGGGAGGCGUUACCCGCAGAAGAAGCACCGGCGAACUCGGGGCCAGCAGCCGCGGUAAUUC
rnacentral:rRNA from 1 species